rnacentral:lncRNA from 1 species
AAUGUUGUGCUAAAGUUUACAACCCCUUUAGGAGGUGAAAAUCAAGGUGUUGGAAAGACGCUCUCAAAAGUUAAAAAAAUAUCAACUCCAGUCCCAAAAGUAGUUACGCAACCUAAAAAAAGAAGCUCAAAUCCUCAAAGAGUUAAACAAUAUCAACUCCAAUCCCAAAAGUAGUUACGCAACCUAAGAAACGGAAGCUUAAAUCCUCGAAGGCAGCUUUGAAGGAAGUGGUAUGCACUUCAACAGCUAUAGAGAAACACCCUAUAAUUCUUCCA